GUACACGCUGUGACUAGCAUAUCAAUAAGCGGAGGAAAAGAAACUAACAAGGAUUCCCCUAGUAACGGCGAGUGAAGCGGGAAGAGCUCAAAUUUGAAAUCUUAAAGGGUUUCCCUUUACGAAUUGUAGUUUAAAGAAGUGUUUUCUGUUGAGGUUUUGGUAAAAGUUCUUUGGAAUAGGACAUCAUAGAGGGUGAGAAUCCCGUAUUUGACCUUUACUUUCAACUUUGUGAUACACUUUCAAAGAGUCGGAUUGUUUGGGAAUGCAGUCCAAAAUGGGUGGUAAAUUUCAUCUAAAGCUAAAUAUUGGCGAGAGACCGAUAGCGAACAAGUACCGUGAGGGAAAGAUGAAAAGAACUUUGAAAAGAGAGUUAAACAGUACGUGAAAUUGUCAAAAGGGAAGCGUUCGACACCAGUGUUGUUUUUCUGAAAAUCAAUUAAAGAACUGUUUAUGCUAAGUUGUUUAGACUUUAUCAGCUAACUGUUUAGUUUUGAGCUUUUCUUUAAUGCACCUUUCAGUUAACAAGUCAACAUCAAUUUCUUUUGCUGUAAAAAAGCUUGAGGAAGGUGGCUUGAGAUUCGUCUUAAGUGUUUAUAGCCUCUUGCCUAUGCAGUCGGAGAGAUUGAGGUCUGCAGCGUAGAUCCUUCGGGGCUAAAUGCAUUUGUGCUAAGUUAUAGCAUUUUAUAGACAACUUGUUGACUAUGAUUUGUCUUGUAGCUUACUCGCUUAUGUUAUUUUACCUACGCUUAGGAUGUUGACAGCAGUAUAGACUG
rnacentral:rRNA from 1 species